UCUAUGAAUGGAUGGACUCUUUCUUUAUAGUUUCUACCAGUUGAAAGCCAAUAGUCAACUCUGUAUGUGCUCUUUGAAUGGUCAACCAUAUUGCUCUCUGUUCAUUUUGCAUUCUUCUAAAGUGCCUCAUGUCUUUAACAAUUCCAUCUUUAAGGUUUCCUAUAUCCCUUGUCCACCAUGCUUCUUUCAUGACAACCAAGGUGUUCCCCAGUUCUUCAUGCCCGGUUCGAUAUGUGUAUACAAAAGGUAGGUGGUCUGAUGGAUAAUCAAUGAGGGACAUAGUUUUUUUACCAAUAAACGGCCAGUUAAAGACUGUUAAAAAGUUUUUAGGAUCAAUUUCAUAUAAACAAAGACUUCUUUUCGUCAGAGGACAUAAACAAAGACUUAGAGUUGCAUUAUUAUUAUUUCUUUGAAAAGGUUAAAGAAGUUUUAUUCAGGAUCCUAAAUGAAACUGGUACAAGCAGUACCGAUACAAAUAUGUUAUGCAAAUAUUUACAGAGUCAUACAAAGAAAUCGCAUUUUCGAAUUGAUGGUAAGCUGGUGUAAGGUUGUUUUUUUUUUUUUUUUUUUUGAAGUAAGACUGGUGUAAGGUUUAUUUUGAUGGUUAAUAAUUGAUUAUUUAAAUAAAUGGCUAACUAUUUAUUUAUGUUUUCCUUGUAUUAUACACUAUUGAUGUGAUCCCAAAUUCCACAAUGCCAAGGAAAACAUAAAUAAUUGGCAUUGCAGACUUUCGGGUUCACAUCAAUAGUGUAAAAUACAUCAACAUUCUCGGCAAGUUAGCUUUGGCUUUUAUAAUAUCAAUGGCUAAUAGUAGCAUCCAAAGUGUCUCUUCACCCGGUGCUUUCAGUAGUUGAUGAAAAUAUCUGAAUGUAUUGAAGUAUCAGGACAAAUUGUUCUACCUAUUUUCUAUGACGGGAGUCCAUCUGAGGUACGAAAGAAAAACGGAAAUUAUGAAAAAGCUUUUCAGAAGCAUGAAUCAAUGAAGCAAGAUUCAAAGAAAAUUUAGAGGAUUUGCAAAUAUGGAGGGGAGCCUUAGCACAAGUAGCCAAUCCCUGGCUGGAAUAUAAAGGAUCAGCCACAAUAUCCAGAUUGGAGAAAUCAUUGAAGAGUUAGAAAAGCUAUUUUGGACUCAGACAAUGAUGUUCGAGCUGUAGGGAUUUGUGGACUCUUGUUAAUGCUUUGUAUGCUAGAAUCUCUAAUCAAUUUGAUGCUUGUGCUUUAUCGACGAUGUGAGUAAAAUUUAUGGAGACUAUGGCCCAACCGAAGUGCAAAAGCAACUUCUUUGUCAAACUCUAAACGAAGAAAAUCUUCAGAUAUGCAAUCUUUCUAUGGGAUCUAAUUUGAUUCGAACUACGCUAUGUCAAAUAAAAUCUCUUGAAGUUCUUGAUAAUGUUCAAGUUGAACAACUUGAAAAAUUGGCCAUGAAAUGAUAAUGGCUAGGCACAGGAAGUAGAAUCAUCGUAAUAUCUAGAGAUAGCCAUAUCUUCAGAGAGCAUGGAGUAGAUGAAGUUUACAAAGUUCGACUCAUAAAUCAUAAUGAUGCCCUUCAAUUGUUUUGUAGGAAAGCUUUAAAAAUUGACGAUGUCAUGAGCGGUUACAUAAACUCGACAGAUGAUGUACUCGAAUAUGCCAAAGGUCUUGCAUAUUAGCAAUUAAAGUGUUGGGAUCAUUUUUGUAGGAGAAGUGUAUUGGCAAGAUUAAGAGAGAAUCCAAGGGCAGAUAUUAUGGAUGUACUUCGAAUUAGUUUUGAAGGACUAAAGGAUACAGAAAAGGAUAUAUUUCUAGAUAUUGCUUGUUUCUUCCAUCAAAGCAUGGAGACAUAAGUGAAGAAGUUUUUACUAUACUUUAACCACUUUUUUUUUAUGCCUCUAAAUUCCCCCCUUGUCAUACUCAUGUUUGUUGGCUUCUCUAUCACUCCUCCUAAUGACACUGCUCUAUUGUCUUCAUUAAAUUCUUUUAGUGAAAUGAAGUCUUGCCAACACUUUUAGUGGCAAAUUUUAAGAGUUAAGAGAUGAUGUUGUUUUAAAGAGAAAAAUACACUGACAUCUAAUUGUUUU